rnacentral:lncRNA from 1 species
AGGCAGAGCACCUGGGCCAGCUCUCGCACGUGCCAGGCACACCAGGCCACUAUGUCAUCAUCCACCUUUACCACAAUGGCCACGUCAUCGACACCGAGGAGACCAAGUCCGUCACCGGCUACAACCCCAUCUGGAGCAUGCCCCUCCUCUUCAGCCUCCCUGCUGGGGACAUCCAGAAGCAAGAGCUAUCCUUGGAGUUCACUGUCAUGCAGGUUCGCAUCUACACCGGCAGCUCCCCACUGGGCCGCGUGCAGGUGGGCCCCUGUGCCCCCGGGGCCGGGUUGCUGCACUGGAGGGAGAUGUGCAGCCGGGGGCAGCUGGAGUCAGCGCGGUGGCACCGGAUCCAGCCCGAUGCUCUGGGACC